rnacentral:rRNA from 1 species
UGGGGAAUCUUGGACAAUGGGGGCAACCCUGAUCCAGCCAUGCCGCGUGAGUGAUGAAGGCCUUAGGGUCGUAAAGCUCUUUCGCCUGUGAAGAUAAUGACGGUAGCAGGUAAAGAAACCCCGGCUAACUCCGUGCCAGCAGCCGCGGUAAUACGGAGGGGGUUAGCGUUGUUCGGAAUUACUGGGCGUAAAGCGCACGUAGGCGGACCAGAAAGUUGGGGGUGAAAUCCCGGGGGCUCAACCCCGGAACUGCCUCCAAAACUAUCGGUCUAGAGUUCGAGAGAGGUGAGUGGAAUUCCGAGUGUAGAGGUGAAAUUCGUAGAUAUUUGGAGGAACACCAGUGGCGAAGGCGGCUCACUGGCUCGAUACUGACGCUGAGGUGCGAAAGUGUGGGGAGCAAACAGGAUUAGAUACCCUGGUAGUCCACACCGUAAACGAUGAAUGCCAGUCGUCGGGUAGCAUGCUAUUCGGUGACACACCUAACGGAUUAAGCAUUCCGCCUGGGGAGUACGGUCGC